rnacentral:tRNA from 1 species
GGCCCCGUAGCUCAGCAUGGAUAGAGCGGCGGCCUUCUAAGCCGUAGGUCGUGGGUUCAAAUCCCACCGGGGCCG